GUGGCUAUCUAAGAGUUGGGGCUAAAGUAUGGAUCACUCGCCGAUCUGUGAUCAAAGAAAACUAUACCUGAAGAAUGGGAUACAGAUUGACCAGCACAAAAGCCAUCUCUAUCAAUCUACGCUCAU